rnacentral:rRNA from 1 species
GGGCGACGGAAGCGGGAAAAGCCCACAUUGGUAAUCUCCGAGCUUGGGCUCGGCGAAUUGUAAUCUGAAGAUCGCUAGUCUAAUUGGAUCAGGCGUCAAAGUGCGCACGAGCGCGCCGCCAUAGAGGGUGAGAGCCCCGUACGACGCAGGAUCCUACCAAGGCUGGUGUUCGAAGAGUCGUGUACUUUGAUACUAGUGCACUAAGCGGGAGAUAAACUUCUUCUAAGGCUAAAUAUAAGUAGGAAACCGAUAGCGAACAAGUACUGUGAAGGAAAGAUGAAAAGCACUUUGGAAAGAAAGUUAAAAGACUUGAAAUCGUUGAGGCGGACCCGGUAGAAAUGUAUUCUAGCGAAGCGCUCUGGGAAGCCUCUACGGGGGCCACUUGAGCGCUAGCCGAGACAAGAUGGAGUCGCCUGAUGCCAGAGGCUGUGUGCGAGCGUGCUUGCAUGAGCGCAUGCUAGUCGGGUGUUAGGCGGCUUGAGGGGCCUUGAGCGAUCUUGUCAAAAUGGUUUUUACCGACUCGUCUUGAAACACGAACCAAGGAGUCUAAGACUAACGCGAGUAUGGUGGUGGAGAAACCAACAUGCGAAAUGAAAGUAAAUGAUGCCAAGCUCCCUGCAGCAUCGACCGACUUUUUUCUAU